ACGGGAGGCAGCAGUGGGGGAUAUUGGGCAAUGGACGAAAGUCUGACCCAGCGACGCCGCGUGAGGGAAGAAGGUCUUCGGAUUGUAAACCUCUUUUAGCAGGGAAGAAGAAAGUGACGGUACCUGCAGAAGAAGUCACGGCUAACUACGUGCCAGCAGCCGCGGUAAUACGUAGGUGGCGAGCGUUAUCCGGAAUUACUGGGUGUAAAGGGUGUGUAGGCGGGGAAGCAAGUCAGAUGUGAAAAUUAUGGGCUCAACCCAUAACCUGCAUUUGAAACUGUUUUUCUUGAGAGUCGGAGAGGUAAACGGAAUUCCUGGUGUAGUAGUGAAAUGCGUAGAUAUUAGGAGGAACACCAGUGGCGAAGGCGGUUUACUGGACCACAACUGACGCUGAGGCACGAAAGCGUGGGGAGCAAACAGGAUUAGAUACCCUGGUA
rnacentral:rRNA from 1 species